UUUUAUCUUUGUUGCAUAUACAAUGAGCACCCGAGUCCUUUUUUUGUUGUAUAAUUCUCUCACUAACAUUGCAAACCAUGUUAUAAUAAAAUUCUAGAUCAGUUGCAUGCAUCAGUCACACACACACACACACACACACACACAUAUAUCACUUCCACCUGCAGCACUAAUUCUUUUUAUGUUAUGGUCUCACUGUUCUUGUUUUCAUGAAUUUGUUAUGUGCAUAUAUUUUCCUUUGGUCUUGGGUAUUUUUUUCAUACCUCUACUAGUUCACUCUAUUUUUCAUAUGCUUUUGUCUCAGUAUAUAAUACUACAUCAUUCACAAAUAACAAACUCCAUAUGGCUUCUUGAAUAUCUAUGCCAAGAAAUGAAUAAGCAGGGUCUUAGAAAUGCAUCAUUUAAUCAUGUGUGUCCAGUGGUGGAGCAUAAGAGGGACUAGGGGCAUUGUCCCCUCAAAAAAUUUUAAAAUACUUAUUACCUAUAUAUUUAUAUAUAUCAUGAUCCCUCUAAUAUUUUAGUCUUACACAUAUUACGAAUCUACCGAUUUGAAAAAAGACUAUAUAAUUAAUUUAUAUAUUAAUUUUUUAUUUAAAAUAAUAAAUAUUUUAAAGAAAGAACAGUUGUUUAUUAUACCACUUGGGACUCUGAUACCACUUAGGGCUCUGAUACCACUUGGGGCAGGAUCUAGAUCAGGGCCUUCCUAGCUAUAAGAUACCAGAUAGCUAGUGCACGCUAAGGUUCUGAUAUAGACCAUAGGUAAGAUUGAUAAUCUAUGUUCUAAUUUAAAUACCUUCCUAGUUAUAAGCUUAAAGCCUAUAAGCUAGGACCCGCUACGAUAUAGGUUUAGACCAAAGAUUAGAUUGAUUAUUUAUUUUUGAAAUAAAAUAAAUAAUAGUAAAAUAUAAAAUUGAAAUAGUAAAGUUGCGGAGUAAAAAUUUAAAGCAUUUGCUUACAAGUUUGAAGAGAUUGAAACUAGAUAAUUGGUAGCUGCAAAUUGAUAUCAGAGAAACAGAGAGAUGUUAAAACAUUGAAUUAAAAUAAAUUAAAAUUUAAUUGAUUCAAAUUUUAAAAGAUACAUUCAACCCUUCACAAUGAUACAUUCAACCCUUCACAACUUGAGGUUGUCUAGAUUGGAUGAUUGAGGCUACAAGCUUGGUUCCACAAGUUUGAAGCUACAAGAUUGGGUUUUGAGGUUUUGGGUGAAGAAAGAGAUUUUGGCUACAAGGCUAGAGAAAGAAGAGGAAUUCUAUCUAUUCUCCUCAAACUGAGUCCUGCAUUCUUUGAAUGCCAUAGGGGCUUAUUAUAGAAGUCUUGCAGACUUGAUUUGAGUUUAAGUCUGAAAACUGUUCUGCAUGCAUUGUCCGACAUGCUGUUGAUUUUUGAAGAAUCUUUUUCUUGUGAUCAAAAGAUCGGUGCAUGCGUUGCCUGAUAUGCAGUUUGCUUUUGAUAAAGUUGGGACCUUAAACUUUGAAAAAGUUGUUGAUGGGACAAAAAAUUUCCUUUUAGAUGACAUAAGGGGAUAGAAUUUGAUGGAUGAGAUAUGAGAUUUGAUGGAUGUUGUUUUGUCUUUUUUUUAUCCCUUAAUGAGGAGUCUAAAGAUUCCUCUUUGAAAUAUUUGCAAAUGUGCAUAUCCCAUAGAAAAAAUUAGCACUCUAGAGCUCUGGUUGAUGAUAUGCUGGCUUUAUUUCUUUUGAUGGAACUAGCUCUUUUUUCAGUUAUUUUAGCUUUGCUGGAGUUCUAAAGCAAUCUACUGGUCUCUUCCUAUAGACAAUCUCCAAUUCUGAUGGAAUUGAUGGUAUUGGAGAAGCCGAUGAUGAUGCUUUUGAGGACUAAGUUAGAACAUUGAAAAUAGGUUGGUACUAGUUAUCUUGAGGUAGUUGUCCUUCUGGCAGCAUCGGUGUUAUUUGAACAAUUGGAAUACUUAAAAACAUUAGAGUUUUGAUCCAUUUGUAUUGUUGUAGGAGCUAACACCUUGAUAGUGAGUGUUAGGUUGAUAUUGUGACUUCGGUGAUGUCGGUGAUGCUGGUGGUGGUGAUGUCAGCGAUAAUGCCUCUUGCUAUGAUUGAAAGUUCAAAAAUGCAUCAUCAUCUAAUUGAAUGAGUAGAUUGAAAGAAGAGCUAACAUAAUCUUUUUUCUCUUCUUCUUCUAAGCUUGAGAGUGACUCCAGGAGGAGCCUUUUAUAUUCAAUUAUAGAUUUUACUCCUAUAAGCUUUGCAUUGAUUUUAGACCUUUAUUGCAAGAAUCUUACAGUAGAAGGAUUAAUGACUGAAGGUGCCUGUAAAGAGUAUCAAGUAAGCCAUUCAAUUACUUUUGAUUUGGUGGCACAUUUUGGAUUGAACCCGGCCUACCACUUUACUUUGAAUUUUCUUCCCAAAGAAGAAGGAAGAGGAAGAUUUUGAAUAAAUGUAUAUUCCCAAGUAUUAAGCAAACUAGGAAUAAAAUUCAAGGAGGAUAGAAAAUUUCUGAUUGUGAGCAGAGAGGAUAGGCUUUUCUUGAAAGAAAUUAAAAUCUUCAAGGGCUAGAGGAGGAAGAAUUUGAGGAAUGGAAUCAUAAUAAUCUGAUAUUUUGCACCAAUUUUGAAAUAAAAUAACCAAUAAUAUUUAUGUUGUGGAUUUUGAUAAAAAAAGAUAUUAUACCAGACCCUAAUAUAAUCUCAGUAGUUAAGUAUUGAGGUGAAUAAUUUUAUAAAAAUCUUUUGAAAUUUGAAGGAUGAUCCUUGGGGCUCUGAUACCACUUGGAGGUGCGAGAUCUAGACCAGGGCCUUCCUAGCUAUCACCCAAGAAAGUCACCUGUCAAUAUUUUGAUAGCAAACUUUUUCAAUCGAUAGUAAUGAUUGAAGAUGAGUACUCUACAAGUGACUCAAAAUUGAUGGCCAAAAAGAUUUUUUUACAAAGCUGUUAGAUGUAUGUCCUAGAAGUCAAUUAUUAGCUAACACAUUAUUCAUUUUAUGACAUAAAUUUAUACUUUAAACUAUUGAUUUAAUUAAUAAAGAGUAAUUUUUUUUCC
rnacentral:lncRNA from 1 species